UUUUUAGACUGUCAUUUUAUGAACUUUAUUGUUCUAGUGAGAAUUCAAUUCUCUUUAUUCACUUUAGGACUGAUCUGACUUAUCGAGAUUUCGUCUUGUGGCAUCAAUCUUUCCUUGUUAGCCCGAACUCUUCACCUUUGUUGGUGUAGCAUUCAAAACUAUACCAAGGUUCCUAUCAUCCUUGAUAGCAGGUCGAGGUUUUCUAUCAAUUUCUCCAUCUAUAUUUCCAUUAACUUCUCAACCUAAGUGUCAUCUAAGAUCCGGGCUAACUUUUCCUAUAACUUUGGUUCAAUCUUGGCCUUAGCCGAUUUUCAUCCACCUAUCACCAAGUUUUCCUUUAACCUUUGUUUGAUCCCGUUGAUAGUCAUUUAUCCAUCCCUCUUUCAGCAUUUUUGAAUCAAACCAUCAACUUGCUUCCAUAUCCAUUACAAAACUAGCCAUUCAAACCUAUCUUCCUUGUUUUCAUCCCCAAUUUUGCAAACCGUUCAAACUUACCCAAUUUAUCGAUCGGGCAACUAUUACCACUCAAAUCAUCUUUAUUCAAAAAUAAAAAUAUGGAAAUAAGCUCAAUCGCUUAUUUGAGCUGAAUCAGGCUCAUUGAAUGAGCACACAAACUCAUUGAGCUAAAAAUGAGCAAAAUUGAGCUCAACGAGCUAAGAUUGGGCCUCAUUUUGCACUUAGGCCCCUCGAGCUUAGGCCAUGCUCGAUGUUGUCGAGUUAAUUUGUAACAUGACGCGGUUACGUUCGCAUCAGUAGGGAUGGGUGGGUUGAUUUAAUCCCCACAUGGAGUGUAGGGUUGGACAGAGAUGGUGUGUAGAGGCUGGUUGGGUAGGACUUUGUUACUGAAUUUGUAUAUCUGUUAUUAACACUGUGAUGGACAAGGCCCUUGUGCAUACUGAUACUGAUACUGAUACUGAAAGGUAAUCACCAGACCUAGACAGAUCGGGCAGUGGAGGACUCGAUGGUGACCACAGUUUUUGGAUUUUUAUGAUUUAUAAUUUAUGAUUUAUGUUUUAUUUACCGUGGUUUAUUUGGAUGUAAUUUGGGGACUUUUGGGGACUUUUGCUUAAAUUUGGUUUUUAUUUAUUUUUAUGGAUUUAUAACUGCUAGACGUAGGAAAA